UGAGGUAGUUUAGGUAAUCGCUUGAGUUUAAAAAGCUUGAGAGGAAAGUCCGGACUUCAAACGAAAUAGGUGCCUUAGAAUAUAAGGGGGAUGUAAGUCCACGGAAAGUGCCACAGAAAAUAACCGCCAAUAUUUUUAUAUUGGUAAGGGUGAAAAUGUGUGGUAAGAGCACACGCAAGUUUAGUAGUAAUACUUUACUUGGGGUAAACCCUGCCUGAAGCAAGACAAAAUAAGCAUGUACGGUUUUUCGUUCCGAUUUAAACAUGCGGGUGUGUCGCAUAGAUAGAUGAUUACCACUGUUUUUAACAGUACAGAAUCCGGCUUAUUAACUGCCUCAGAAG
rfam:Candidatus Babela massiliensis strain BABL1 complete genome